CUGUCAACUGCAACCAGAGACUUUACUUUCUGUAGGCAAUCAUGGGAGGCAAGCUGAAGAAGAGCGAAAACGAAGCCAUGGCUGAAUACGAAAACGACGUUGAGUUAGAUACCAGCGAUAAAAAGAGAGAUAAGAGGAAGAAGAAGAAUAAAGAGGGAGAGGAGAAGAGGGAGAUACUUCCAUCGAUGAUAAAGAACAAGGAGAAGAGAUCAGUCGUUCAUGCUAAGCUCAAGCACUUGAAGAAGGUUGAGAAGCGAAAGAAGCUCAAGGCUCGAGAUGCCUUGGAGGAGGCUCCUCGCCCAGGUCAGCCUCCUCCAAGGCAGAUUCCUCGCACCAUUGAGAACACCAGGGAGUUUGAUAAGACUAUAUGCAAGCCAGAUGACGAUGAGCUAUUUGCUGGUAAUGAUGCUGAUGAGUUUAGUUCAGUUCUAAGACGUGAACUAACUCCGAAGAUAUUGAUCACCACAUGCCGAUUCAAUUCUACUAGGGGACCCCUUUUUAUAUCAGAACUGCUUUCAGUGAUCCCAAAUGCAAUUUACAAGAAGAGAGGAACUUAUAAUUUGAAAGAUAUUGUAAAAUAUGCAAGCAACAUGGAAUUUACUGCUAUUAUUGAUGUUCAUACUAACCGCAGAGAACCAGAUGCUCUCCUGAUCAUUUGCUUGCCUUAUGGACCUACUGCACAUUUCAAGCUUUCCAAUCUUGUUUUACGCAAGGAUAUAAAGAAUCAUGGAAAUCCUACAAAUCACAAGCCUGAGCUGGUUUUGACUAACUUUACAACACGCUUAGGUCAUCGUGUUGGGAGACUAAUACAGUCACUUUUCCCUCAAGAUCCUAAUUUCCGUGGUCGGCGAGUUGUAACUUUUCACAAUCAACGGGAUUUUAUAUUCUUCCGCCAUCACCGGUACAUCUUUGAAACCAAAGAAUGCAAACAAAAUGAUUCAAAAGGCCAAAAGGGAAAAGAUGCCAAGGGGGAGAAGAUCUCUCAAGAAAAAGUAGUUGCUCGCCUUCAGGAAUGUGGUCCUCAAUUUACACUAAAGUUGAUAAGUCUACAGAAUGGAACCUUUGAUACCAAAAGUGGCGAAUACGAAUGGGUUCACAAGCCGGAAAUGGACACUAGCCGAAGGAGGUUUUUCCUCUGAGUUGCAUCAAAGAUCAUUCAAGUUUCCAUUUGUUGAAGAGGUACAAGCAAUUAUGGUUAAUUGGGUUGGUAGCCGAACCCAUGAUGUUUUGGAG
rnacentral:misc_RNA from 1 species